CAGAAUGUGAACUUACUGCAAUUCCCCAACCCGUUCUGUGGGGGACCUGCACAGGAACAAUAAGUCCAUUCAUUUGAAUGGAGAGGAACUACUGUCAGGAAUAAGGGCAAGCACAAGAUAAUCUACACUUCCUUGGUGGAACAUGCUCUGGCCCACGUCACAUUGUGAAAAGCCUUGCUGUUGCACACGGAUGUGCGGUGUUGCAUUGAUUAGUUUCAGGCACCAGUGGAUCUGGAAAGGGCACUAGAUAUCUGACAUAGAAGGGAAGUGGAUUGUCACCACCCACGCUGACAGCCUCCAAUGCAAGUGAACCCGUGGGCACCGUCAUAAGAUCAGUCUUCCAGAGAGUGAACCCAAGGAAAGCAUCUGGCCCGGAUGGUGUCCCUGGCCAUGUGCUCAGAUCUUGUGUUGAUCAGCUGGCGGGAGUAUUUGCAGACAUGUUUAACCUCUCCCUGCUUCAAUCUGAGGUUCCCACCUGUUUUAAGAAGACCACUAUCAUCCCGGUACCUAAGAAAAACAAGGUAACA